AGUGAACGCUGGCGGUAGGCCUAACACAUGCAAGUCGAACGGCAGCACAGUAAGAGCCUGCUCUUACGGGUGGCGAGUGGCGGACGGGUGAGGAAUACAUCGGAAUCUACUUUUUCGUGGGGGAUAACGUAGGGAAACUUACGCUAAUACCGCAUACGACCUACGGGUGAAAGCAGGGGAUCUUCGGACCUUGCGCGAUUGAAUGAGCCGAUGUCGGAUUAGCCAGUUGGCGGGGUAAAGGCCCACCAAGGCGACGAUCCGUAGCUGGUCUGAGAGGAUGAUCAGCCACACUGGAACUGAGACACGGUCCAGACUCCUACGGGAGGCAGCAGUGGGGAAUAUUGGACAAUGGGCGCAAGCCUGAUCCAGCCAUACCGCGUGGGUGAAGAAGGCCUUCGGGUUGUAAAGCCCUUUUGUUGGGAAAGAAAAGCAGCAGGUUAAUACCCCGCUGUUCUGACGGUACCCAAAGAAUAAGCACCGGCUAACUUCGUG
rnacentral:rRNA from 1 species